ACGUGUUGCUCUUCCGAUCUCGACAAUGACACGACGAAGGGGCUUGAACAUCUCGCCGUAGACGGUGGAAGCCCGGGGCAUGAAACGGUCUAGCCGGUCGAAUGCAGUAAAGCGCGCAAACCGUGCUUGAACCUUAUUAGACCCAUGGGGACCCACCCUCUCACCCACGAAUCCCCCCAUCGACCGAUAGCGCUCAAGUACCGUGAGGGAAUGGUGGACCGGCCCUACGCAAGGGAGCGACUUCGAGAACUGAACCUCGAUGCUGAUCGAUCAGUCGGGACUGGCCGGGGUGCCAAACCACCCGACCUUCAAAAGCACGGUGGGGACCCGACCCACGGCGUACCUUUUGCAUAAUGGGUCAGCGAGUCGUGGGGAAGCAGCGGCUUAAGCCGGUAGGUGUAGGUUCGACCACGGUGGCUGUGGUCCCGCCGGUCCCCGUCUAACCCGAACCCGAUUGAUCUAGCCAUCCGCAGGUUGAUGGGGGCGUACAGCCCAAUCGUCGGAAGACCGCACCCCGGCAUGUGGCAGAAUGCGGGGAUGACGGGUGGCUAGGGGUGAAAGGCCAACCAAGAUCGGAGAUAGCUGGUUUUCCGCGAAAUCUAUUUAUGUAGAGCGCCGAUGCUACGUUGGCCCGGGGUAGAGCACCGGCGGGGCACGGCUGGCCAUUCCCGAGCGCCACCGUGCCCGUGGCAACACCGAAUACGGGCCGCCUCGCGGAUCCGUCCGUGCAGACAGAGUCUGGGUGCGAAGAUCCGGGCUCGAAAGGGGAAUAGCCCAGAUCGUCCGCUAAGGUCCCGAAGCGAUCACUGCGUGGGGAUACACGAGAGUGAAGGGCGUGAUCCGGCGAUGACCCCCAGCGGUGGGCUUGGAAGCAGCCAUCCCGUAAGAGAAAGCGUACUGGCUCACUGGGAGAGCGGGUCCGACCGAGGAUGAUCGGGGCGGAAGUGAGGAUCACCGAAGCGACGGGACCAACCACGAUCGAGAGCAGAGCCGGCCGCCGUGCCGGCGCGCAUCGAGUAGUGUCCGUAGCGGAACGUUCUGUUCGCCUACCCCCGGAUGACCGGGCGGGUGGAUCGCACAGAAGUGAGAAUGCUGACAUGAGUAAUGAUAAAUGGAGAGUGAAACUCGCAUCGCCAGCAGUUGCCGGGUUUCCGCGUGCAAUGGAACUACGCGGGGUUACUCGGCCCCCGAGAGGCGCCGAUCGGGCCCACGAUGGGGACGCCAACGCCAAGGAGCCAAGCGAGAACGUCGUAUCGACUGCCGCGACCGGAGGGGGUUCGAUCGAUGGGCACGGUGGAGCGGGGAACCGCCCGUUCCCCCUUUCGGCACGGGAUCCGCGGGCAGAGCGGACACUUCGGAAAGGAAGGGGGCCAGUCAUGGUCGAGCAGCACCGGUCACCGCUCCCCGACGAUCGCUAUGCACGGCCGGUGAUCCACAACCCCUGGGCGGCUAUCGGAUCGUCUCCAAACCCAUCGUGGUCCCCGCCCCGGGUGUUGGGGAGCGGGCUCUCCACAUCCCCCCCUCUCACGUAAACCCGGUGUACCGCCCCGACGUAUUCGCCGUAACUGAACCCGACACUGGGUUACUGGUGAAGGACACUGAGGCGCGUGAGAACCAUGCUGAAGGAACUAGGCAAAAUGACCCCGUAACCUCGGGAGAAGGGGGUUCCACGGGAAUGGACCGGAGGGGGGCACGGAACCGGGGGUAGCGACUGUUUAUUAAAAACACAGGACUCUGCGAAGUGCGAACACGACGUAUAGAGUCUGAAACUUGCCCGGUGCCGGAAGGUGAAGAGGAGAGGUUACGCAGCCUCGAAUCGAAUUCCCGGUAAACGGCGGCAGUAACUCUAACUGUCCUAAGGUAGCGAAAUUCAUUGUCGCAUAAGUAGCGACCUGCACGAAUAGUGUAACGACUUCCCCGCUGUCUCCAGCAUAGGCUCAGUGAAACUGAAUUCCCCGUGAAGAUGCGGGGUUCCCGCGGUCAGACGGAAAGACCCUAUGAACCUUUACUGCAGCUUCGCCUUGGCGUUAGCGGCAACAUGUGUAGGAUAGGUGGGAGGCUGUGAAGUGGUAGCGCCAGCUAUCACGGAGCCAACGUUGAAAUACCACCCCGGUGCGUUUGAGGUUCUAACUCUGGUCCGUUAUCCGGAUCGAGGACAGUGUAUGGUGGGUAGUUUGGCUGGGGCGGUCUCCUCCAAAAAGGUAACGGAGGAGUACAAAGGCACCCUCAGCCUGGUCGGCAAUCAGGCAACGAGCGUAAAGGUAGAAGGGUGCUUGACUGCGAGACCGAUGGGUCGAGCAGGCACGAAAGUGGGGCUUAGUGAUCCGGCGGUUCCGAAUGGAAGGGCCGUCGCUCAACGGAUAAAAGUUACUCUAGGAUAACAGGCUGAUCUUCCCCAAGAGUUCACAUCGACGGGAAGGUUUGGCACCUCGAUGUCGGCUGGUCGCAUCCUGGGGCUGAAGAAGGUCCCAAGGGUUUGGCUGUUCGCCAAUUAAAGCGGCACCUGAGCUGGGUUCAGACCGACGUGAGUCAGGUCGGUCCCUACCUUCCGUGGGUGGAGGAGAUUUGAGGGAUUCUCUCCCUAGUACGAGAGGAUUGGGAGGGACGGACCGCUGGUGUUCCUGUUGUCCUGCC
rnacentral:rRNA from 1 species